AUUGAACGCUGGCGGCAUGCUUUACACAUGCAAGUCGAACGGCAGCGCGGGCUUCGGCCUGGCGGCGAGUGGCGAACGGGUGAGUAAUGCAUCGGAACGUGCCCAGUAGUGGGGGAUAGCCCGGCGAAAGCCGGAUUAAUACCGCAUACGACCUGAGGGUGAAAGCGGGGGACCGAAAGGCCUCGCGCUAUUGGAGCGGCCGAUGUCGGAUUAGCUAGUUGGUGGGGUAAAGGCUUACCAAGGCGACGAUCCGUAGCUGGUCUGAGAGGACGACCAGCCACACUGGGACUGAGACACGACCCAGACUCCUACGGGAGGCAGCAGUGGGGAAUUUUGGACAAAGGGGGCAACCCUGAUCCAGCCAUGCCGCGUGCGGGAAGAAGGCCUUCGGGUUGUAAACCGCUUUUGUUCGGGAAGAAAUCCUCUGGGCUAAUACCCCGGGGGGAUGACGGUACCGGAAGAAUAAGCACCGGCUAACUACGUG
rnacentral:rRNA from 1 species